AAUCAACGCUGGCGGCGUGCCUCAGACAUGCAAGUCGAACGAUUAAGACUUCCUUCGGGAAGUGCAUAAAGUGGCGCACGGGUGAGUAACACGUAAGUAAUCUACCCUCGAGUGGGGAAUAACGUUCGGAAACGGACGCUAAUACCGCAUAACGCAGCGGCACCGCAAGGUGACAGUUGUUAAAGGAGCAAUCCGCUUGAGGAGGAGCUUGCGGCAGAUUAGCUAGUUGGUAAGGUAAUGGCUUACCAAGGCUACGAUCUGUAUCCGGUCUAAGAGGACGGUCGGACACACUGACACUGAAUAACGGGUCAGACUCCUACGGGAGGCAGCAGUCGGGAAUUUUGGGCAAUGGGCGAAAGCCUGACCCAGCAACGCCGCGUGAAGGAUGAAGUAUUUCGGUAUGUAAACUUCGAAAGAAUAGGAAGAAUAAAUGACGGUACUAUUUAUAAGGUCCGGCUAACUACGUG
rnacentral:rRNA from 1 species